rnacentral:rRNA from 1 species
UGCGUAGGUGGCUUGAAAAGUUUGAUGUGAAAUCUCCCGGCUCAACUGGGAGGGUGCGCCGAAUACUGAGCGACUAGAGUGCGGGAGAGGAAAGUGGAAUUCCUGGUGUAGCGGUGAAAUGCGUAGAUAUCAGGAGGAACACCGGUGGUGUAGACGGCUUUCUGGACCGUAACUGACGCUGAGACACGAAAGCGUGGGUAGCAAACA